rnacentral:rRNA from 1 species
CCUACGGGGGGCUGCAGUGGGGAAUAUUGGACAAUGGGGGGAACCCUGAUCCAGCCAUGCCGCGUGUGUGAAGAAGGCCCUCGGGUUGUAAAGCACUUUCAGUGAGGAAGAACGCCUGGUGGUUAAUACCCAUCAGGAAAGACAUCACUCACAGAAGAAGCACCGGCUAACUCCGUGCCAGCAGCCGCGGUAAUACGGAGGGUGCGAGCGUUAAUCGGAAUUACUGGGCGUAAAGCGCGCGUAGGUGGCUUGAUAAGCCGGUUGUGAAAGCCCCGGGCUCAACCUGGGAACGGCAUCCGGAACUGUCAGGCUAGAGUGCAGGAGAGGAAGGUAGAAUUCCCGGUGUAGCGGUGAAAUGCGUAGAGAUCGGGAGGAAUACCAGUGGCGAAGGCGGCCUUCUGGACUGACACUGACACUGAGGUGCGGAAGCGUGGGUAGCAAACAGGAUUAGAUACCCUAGUAGUC